CUGAACUCAAAGGAUCCCAGGAUUCGUGGGGCAGCUGUGAAAGCACUGGAAGAAUCCAUUGCUCAUUUGGAUAAAGUGUCACUGCUGAAAGAGUUCAGCUACCAAUGGAAUCAGCUGAGUGGCCAAGCCCUGCUGGAUGUCACCGAGCGUAUCACAGUGCCUGUGCAGGGGGUUCAUGCCAGGAGCCCUGAAGUCGCCCAGCGCGACGCCCUGCCCGUGCUCUGGUCCUGCCUGGGGAACAAGGCGCUGCCUGUGCCGAGCGCCAACGUCCGCACCGUGGCCACCAAGCUCGCCUCUGCCCUCUGCAAGGUGAUGGGCACCCAGCUGAAGGAAUGUGCUGCCAGCAAGCCUCCACAUGUGCGGGAAAACCUCUCCAAAAUGCUGGGCUGGUGAAGGCGAGAUGUUCUCCAGAAAGCUG